rnacentral:rRNA from 1 species
AUUGAACGCUGGCGGCGUGCCUAACACAUGCAAGUCGUGCGAGAAAGUUCUCUUCGGAGAGCGAGUAAAGCGGCGAAAGGGUGAGUAACACGUGGGUAAUCUGCCCUCGGGAUCGGGAUAACCCGCCGAAAGGUGGGUUAAUACCGGAUAAGACCACGCGGACACAUGUCCGUGCGGUAAAAGAUGGCCUCUACAUGUAAGCUAUCACCUGGGGAUGAGCCCGCGGCCUAUUAGCUAGUUGGUGGGGUAACGGCCUACCAAGGCGAUGAUGGGUAGCCGGCCUGAGAGGGUGUACGGCCACACUGGAACUGAGACACGGUCCAGACUCCUACUGGAGGCAGCAGUGGGGAAUUUUGCGCAAUGGGGGAAACCCUGACGCAGCAACGCCGCGUGAGCGAUGAAGGCCUUCGGGUCGUAAAGCUCUUUUAGUGGGAAAGAAAUGCAUCGGUGCCAAUACCACCGGUGUUUGACGGUACCCACAGAAAAAGUUCCGGCUAACUCCGUGCCAGCAGCCGCGGUAACAC